GCUCCGGUUGCCUAGUGGUAAGAGCCUCCACCUAUGAUACGGGAGGUCGUUGGUUCGAUCCCCGUCCGAGUCA